GAUAAACGCUGGCGGUGUGCAUCAGGCAUGCAAGUCGAACGGACCUUCGGGUCAGUGGCGAACGGGUGAGUAACACGUAAGUAACCUGCCCAGAAGUGGGGAAUAACUUGCCGAAAGGUGAGCUAAUACCGCAUGUGAUGGGCCCUCCCUGGAGGGUUCAUUAAAGGCUUCGGCCGCUUCUGGAGGGGCUUGCGCUCGAUUAGCUAGUUGGUGGGGUAACGGCCUACCAAGGCUGCGAUCGAUAGCUGGUCUGAGAGGACGGUCAGCCACACGGGGACUGAGAUACGGCCCCGACUCCUACGGGAGGCAGCAGCUAGGAAUCUUGGGAAUGGGCGAAAGCCUGACCCAGCAACGCCGCGUGGGCGAAGAAGGCCUUAGGGUUGUAAAGCCCUUUUGCGGGGGACGAUGAUGACGGUACCCCGCGAAUAAGCCACGGCUAACUAC
rnacentral:rRNA from 1 species